rnacentral:rRNA from 1 species
UACGAAGGGGGCUAGCGUUGCUCGGAAUUACUGGGCGUAAAGGGAGCGUAGGCGGACAGUUUAGUCAGAGGUGAAAGCCCAGGGCUCAACCCUGGAAUUGCCUUUGAUACUGAUUGUCUUGAGUAUGGGAGAGGUGAGUGGAACUCCGAGUGUAGAGGUGAAAUUCGUAGAUAUUCGGAAGUACACCAGUGGCGAAGGCGACUCACUGGCCCAUUACUGACGCUGAGGCUCGAAAGCGUGGGGAGCAAACAGG